CAGUCGCCGCGGGAAUACGUAGGUCCCGAGCGUUGUCCGGAUUUAUUGGGCGUAAAGCGAGCGCAGGCGGUUAGAUAAGUCUGAAGUUAAAGGCUGUGGCUUAACCAUAGUACGCUUUGGAAACUGUUUAACUUGAGUGCAAGAGGGGAGAGUGGAAUUCCAUGUGUAGCGGCGAAAUGCGUAGAUAUAUGGAGGAACACCGGUGGCGAAAGCGGCUCUCUGGCUUGUAACUGACGCUGAGAGACGAAAGCUAGGGGAGCAAAUGGGAUUAGAUACCCCUGUAGUCCCUGUCUCUUAUACA
rnacentral:rRNA from 1 species